UACGUAGGGUGCAAGCGUUGUCCGGAAUUACUGGGCGUAAAGGGCUCGUAGGCGGCCAACUAAGUCAGACGUGAAAUCCCUCGGCUUAACCGGGGAACUGCGUCUGAUACUGGAUGGCUUGAGUUUGGGAGAGGGAUGCGGAAUUCCAGGUGUAGCGGUGAAAUGCGUAGAUAUCCGGAGGAACACCGGUGGCGAAGGCGGCUUCCUGGACCGACACUGACGCUGAGGCGCGAAAGCUAGGGGAGCAAACGGG
rnacentral:rRNA from 1 species